rnacentral:rRNA from 1 species
AUUGAACGCUGGCGGCAUGCCUUACACAUGCAAGUCGAACGUGAAAGCGGGGCAACCCGCAAGUAGAGUGGCGGACGGGUGAGUAAUACAUCGGAACGUGUCCAGUAAUGGGGGAUAACCUAGCGAAAGUUAGGCUAAUACCGCAUACGAUCUGCGGAUGAAAGCGGGGGAUGCGGCACUAAAGGCUUUUGGCGAAGGUGGCCAAAGGUGAGUCAAGAGCUUUUAGUGCNGCACCUCGCGUUAUUGGAGCGGCUGAUGUCUGAUUAGCUAGUUGGUGAGGUAAAGGCUUACCAAGGCGACGAUCAGUAGCUGGUCUGAGAGGACGGCCAGCCACACUGGGACUGAGACACGG